UCCUACUUAUACUUCUCCCUAAUACUGGGACACACAAAUCCCCUCUUGAAGCUUAGGGCUACAAUUUUCUUCAUCGUCUGAUAAUCCUCAGUUUAUAUUUUCUCUAGUUAUUUUUGUUAACUGGAAACAAAGCCUGUUAACACUAACAUGUGUUAGUCCAUUAGUGAAAGUUUUCACAUAUUUAUUCAGUUAGUUUGAGCUGAUAAAGACAACUUUGGAAAUUUUUCCUUUGUUCCUGAAAAUAACAAAUAUGAAGAACCCCCACUUGCUGGUUUCUACAAUAGAUUCCGGCACUUUUAAAAUUGAACAUAAAGUGUUUUCCAUUGAGGCUCUACACUGGAAAGCAAAUUAUUUGAUGAGCAUGUGUUUCUUAAAGCAAACAAAUGAUGUGACAGUGCUAACUAGCCUGUACAUAUUUUUCCUUAGUGCGUGUUAAUCAAUUUGCCUACUGGAUAUAUAAAAUAUAUGUGAUGGUUAAUACUGAGUGUCAACUUGGAUUAGAUUGAAGGAUGCAAAUUAUUGAUCCUGGAUGUGUCUGUGAGGGUGUUGCCAAAGAAGAUUAACAUUUGAGUCAGUGGACUGGGACAGGCAGACCCACCUACCAGCUGGGUGGGCACCUUCUAUUCAGCUGCCAGCAAAUAUAAAGCAGGCAGAAAAACUUGAAAAGGCUAGACUGGCUUAGCCUCCCAGCCUACAUCUUUCUCCCAUUCUAGAUGCUUCCUGUCCUUGAACAUCAGACUUCAAGUUCUUCAGUUUUGGGACUUGGACUGGCCCCUUGCUCCUCAGCUUCCCAAUGGCCUACUGUGGGACCUUGUGAUCAUAAGCUGACAAACGGUUUAUAUCAGAAGGUGGAAUCGUGGGUAUGGUCGAUGUGGCAGGUCCUAAACAUAAAUUGGAUUUCUUUUUUAUUUUCAUUUAUUAAAUACAGAAGAAAUAUUUCGCUGAAGACACAGGAAACCCUAUUUUGUAUAAACGAGGGAUUGCAAGAGAUUGUUGGAAGAUCAAAGAUGGGUGAAUUGGAGGGGAAACGGGAAGGCUGGAACCAUGUCCA
rnacentral:lncRNA from 1 species